rnacentral:rRNA from 1 species
UCUCCUGGAAAACGGGUGGUAAUGCCGGAUGCUCCAGUUGAUCGCAUGGUCUUCUGGGAAAGCCUUUGCGGCAUGGGAUGGGGUCGCGUCCUAUCAGCUUGAUGGCGGGGUAACGGCCCACCAUGGCUUCGACGGGUAGCCGGCCUGAGAGGGCGACCGGCCACAUUGGGACUGAGAUACGGCCCAGACUCCUACGGGAGGCAGCAGUGGGGAAUAUUGCACAAUGGGCGCAAGCCUGAUGCAGCGACGCCGCGUGAGGGAUGGAGGCCUUCGGGUUGUAAACCUCUUUUGUUAGGGAGCAAGGCAUUUUGUGUUGAGUGUACCUUUCGAAUAAGCACCGGCUAACUACGUGCCAGCAGCCGCGGUAAUACGUAGGGUGCAAGCGUUAUCCGGAAUUAUUGGGCGUAAAGGGCUCGUAGGCGGUUCGUCGCGUCCGGUGUGAAAGUCCAUCGCUUAACGGUGGAUCCGCGCCGGGUACGGGCGGGCUUGAGUGCGGUAGGGGAGACUGGAAUUCCCGGUGUAACGGUGGAAUGUGUAGAUAUCGGAAAGAACACCA